rnacentral:misc_RNA from 1 species
AUGAGUUUUUAUGGUCUUUGUUGGUUUUUGAUUGACAAAGUUACCUAAAACUUCAUCCUUUGUUUAUACAAACUGUAUACUUUGGCAAGACGCUUUGACUUGAAUUUGGAGAAUAUUCAGCCACAAGAAAAAGCCACUGACGUCAUUUACUUGACAGUGAGUGUGUUUGCUUGCCAAAGGUUUAACUCUUUUAUACUGUUGUCUGAGUACUACAAAAAUAAAUUA